AUGUGCCAUGCGCACACUGCGGCUGCGCCGCGCCGCCCACACCCACCUGACGACUGCUCGCAAUGUUUUGUUGGCC
rnacentral:sRNA from 1 species